AAGGAAUAUUGGACAAUGGGGGCAACCCUGAUCCAGCCAUGCCGCGUGAGUGAAGAAGGCCUUCGGGUUGUAAAGCUCUUUCAGAUGUGAAGAUGAUGACGGUAACAUCAGAAGAAGCUCCGGCUAACUCCGUGCCAGCAGCCGCGGUAAUACGGAGGGAGCGAGCGUUGUUCGGAAUCACUGGGCGUAAAGCGUACGUAGGCGGUCCUGCAAGUCAGGAGUGAAAGCCCAGGGCUUAACCUUGGAAUUGCUCUUGAAACUGCAAGACUAGAGUCCCGGAGAGGUUGGCGGAAUUCCGAGUGUAGAGGUGAAAUUCGCAGAUAUUCGGAGGAACACCAGUGGCGAAAGCGGCCAACUGGACGGGAACUGACGCUGAGGUACGAAAGCGUGGGGAGCAAAC
rnacentral:rRNA from 1 species